AUUGAACGCUGGCGGCAGGCUUAACACAUGCAAGUCGAGCGGGGAAGGGUAGCUUGCUACCUAACCUAGCGGCGGACGGGUGAGUAAUGCUUAGGAAUCUGCCAUUAGUGGGGGACAACAUUCCGAAAGGAAUGCUAAUACCGCAUACGUCCUACGGGAGAAAGCAGGGGAUCUUCGGACCUUGCGCUAAAUGAUGAGCCUAAGUCGGAUUAGCUAGUUGGUGGGGCAAAGGCCUACCAAGGCGACGAUCUGUAGCGGGUCUGAGAGGAUGAUCCGCCACACUGGGACUGGAACACGGCCCAGACUCCUACGGGAGGCAGCAGUGGGGAAUAUUGGACAAUGGGCGGAAGCCUGAUCCAGCCAUGCCGCGUGUGUGAAGAAGGCCUUAUGGUUGUAAAGCACUUUAAGCGAGGAGGAGGCUACUGAGACUAAUACUCUUGGAUAGUGGACGUUACUCGCAGAAUAAGCACCGGCUAACUCUGUGCCAGCCGCCGCGGUAA
rnacentral:rRNA from 1 species